GGUCUUAUAGUUGAAACAAUGCUGAACUGCAGCUUCAGAGGUGUGACUUAUUCACUAAGACUU
rnacentral:tRNA from 1 species